rnacentral:rRNA from 1 species
AUACGUAGGGUGCAAGCGUUAAUCGGAAUUACUGGGCGUAAAGCGUGCGCAGGCGGUUUUGUCAGACAGUGGUGAAAUCCCAGGGCCCAACCUGGGAACUGCCAUUGUGACUGCAAGGCUGGAGUGCGGCCGAGGGGGGUGGAAAUCCGCGUGUUGCAGUGAAAUGCGUAGAUAUGCGGAGGAACACCGAUGGCGAAGGCAAUCCCCUGGGCCUGCACUGACGCUCAUGCACGAAAGCGUGGGGAGCAAACAGGAUUAGAUACCCUGGUAGUCCACGCCCUAAACGAUGUCAACUGGUUGUUGGGGAUUUAUUUUCUCAGUAACGAAGCUAACGCGUGAAGUUGACCGCCUGGGGAGUACGGCCGCAAGGUUAAAACUCAAAUGAAUUGACGGGG